UACGUAGGGGGCAAGCGUUGUCCGGAAUCAUUGGGCGUAAAGCGCGUGUAGGCGGCCAGAAAAGUCCGUUGUGAAAACUCGAGGCUCAACCUCGAGCUGUCGGUGGAAACUUUCUGGCUAGAGUCCGGAAGAGGAGAAUGGAAUUCCUGGUGUAGCGGUGAAAUGCGCAGAUAUCAGGAAGAACACCCGUGGCGAAGGCGGUUCUCUGGGACGGUACUGACGCUGAGACGCGAAAGCGUGGGGAGCGAACAGG
rnacentral:rRNA from 1 species